AUGGCGGCCACCGUCGGCAACGGCAAGGACAGGGAGGAGGCGGUGGUCCACCCGAACCCGAGGCAGGGGGGCAAGCUCUUGUCCAGGCUGCUGACGAGGGACAGCUCUGCCGCCGCGCCGUCCUUCAGGGUCUACUACGGCGUGGCCUCCGCCGGCGCGGUGCCGUUCCUGUGGGAGUCGCAGCCGGGCACGCCCAAGAACGCCGUCUCCGACACGACGAUGCCGCCGCUCACGCCUCCGCCGUCCUACUACGCCGCCGGCGCCGGGGCCGCCAAGAAGCACGCGGCGCGCAAGGCCGCCGCCGGGAGCAACAGGUUCAGGCCGUCCCGCAUCCUGGGCUCCAUCCUCAUGGCGACGCGGAGGCGGGGCCGGACGACGCCGUCGGGCUCGCCCACCUCGUCCUUCUCCUCCGCGUCGACCUCGUCAUCGUCAUCCUCCUACUCGGCAUCUUCGUUCCGCCGUACCACGCAGUCGCCGAUGCGGGCCGGCGGCAGCAGCAGCAGCAGGCUGCACUCGUCGUCGUCGUCGUUCUCGGACGAGGAGGAGACGGCCAUGGCGACGUGCUUCAGGGUGCGGCACGAGAGCUUCAGGGCGCUCAAGGGCUGCCGCGUCGCCGUGACGGUGAGGAGCGCGCUGGCGUCCGUCGGUGGUGCCGCGGCGCAUCAGGCGCAGAGGGUCUAA
rnacentral:rRNA from 1 species